rnacentral:rRNA from 1 species
AGCGAACGCUGGCGGCAGGCCUAACACAUGCAAGUCGAACGAACUCUUCGGAGUUAGUGGCGGACGGGUGAGUAACACGUGGGAACGUGCCUUUUGGUUCGGAAUAACUCAGGGAAACUUGUGCUAAUACCGAAUGUGCCCUUCGGGGGAAAGAUUUAUCGCCAUUAGAGCGGCCCGCGUCUGAUUAGUUAGUUGGUGAGGUAACGGCUCACCAAGGCGUCGAUCAGUAGCUGGUCUGCGAGGAUGACCAGGCACACUGGGACUGAGACACGGCCCAGACUCCUACGGGAGGCAGCAGUGGGGAAUCUUGCGGAAUGGGCGAAAGCCAGACGCAGCCAUGCCGCGUGAAUGGUGAAGGUCUUAGGAUUGUAAAAUUCUUUCACCGGAGACGAUAAUGACGGUACCCGGAGAAGAAGCCCCGGCUAACUUCGUG